CCUGUGACCUGUUCCGUUCCUGCAGCUGCUUUGUGAAGGUCACAACUCAGACUUUCAGAACUACCUGCGAACUCAGACGGGGAACAACACUACGGUCAACAUCAUCAUCUCUACCGUGGACUACCUUCUGAGAGUUCAGGAAUCAAUCAGUGAUUUCUACUGGUACUAUUCGGAAAG